AGGGGCGCCCGGCCCCGCUCACCUUCUCCCUCUCCCUCGGGGCAGCUGCAGCCUGGCCACCGCUCCGCUCCUGCCUGGGCUCCCACCGGCCCUGCCGCGGCCCCUCCCCCGGCAGCCCUCCCUUUCCAGGGAGGGGCCGUUGCCAUCUGCCUCACUGCCGGCACCUGGGGCUCCUUCAGCCCCGGCCCGCAGCUGUGGUACCUAAAUCCAGAAUAAAACUCCAGAACACCAAUGUGAAGUUAAGAAGCAGGCGCUUCGUUUAUGGAAUGAAAGAUGUCAAGAGUCAUCUUAUUUUGAAGAGUUGUUAACUGGGGUCCACCAUCGAGGCCACAAGGGAGAUUUCUUCCAGAGAGAGGAUAGAGUUAUUAAGUCUAAAGUCCAUUAUUUGCUUUUGUCCUUCAGGAAAAGGUGAGUGGAUCAUGUAUCAUCACUAUGCACCCAAACAGUUAACCCUAAACUUUUCACCUGUCCUUUAAUACAGUCAAUUCCAAGCUAAUUUUUUUGCAUUAUUAGGAGGGGACCCAGGAUCAUUUAAAAUAUUAUUAUACUUUCUACAAAUACAUCCCCCAUCUUAGAGCUUUAGCUACUAGAGAAAGUCUUUGGAUUUUGGGGUCGGAGGAGUUGCAAGUCUAAACUUUCAUACCAUUCUGUUUA